rnacentral:rRNA from 1 species
UACGAAGGGGGCUAGCGUUGCUCGGAAUUACUGGGCGUAAAGGGAGCGUAGGCGGACAUUUAAGUCAGGGGUGAAAUCCCAGAGCUCAACUCUGGAACUGCCUUUGAUACUGGAUGUCUUGAGUGUGAGAGAGGUAUGUGGAACUCCGAGUGUAGAGGUGAAAUUCGUAGAUAUUCGGAAGAACACCAGUGGCGAAGGCGGCUGACUGGACAUGUAUUGACG